rnacentral:rRNA from 1 species
GAUGAACGCUGGCGGCGUGCCUAAUACAUGCAAGUCGAGCGAACGGACGAGAAGCUUGCUUCUCUGAUGUUAGCGGCGGACGGGUGAGUAACACGUGGAUAACCUACCUAUAAGACUGGGAUAAUUUCGGGAAACCGGAGCUAAUACCGGCUGAUAUUUUGAACCGCAUGGUUCAAAAGUGAAAGACGGUCUUGGUGUCACGUAUAGAUGGAUCCGCGCUGCAUUAGCUAGUUGGUAAGGUAACGGCUUACCAAGGCAACGAUGCAUAGCCGACCUGAGAGGGUGAUCGGCCACACUGGAACUGAGACACGGUCCAGACUCCUACGGGAGGCAGCAGUAGGGAAUCUUCCGCAAUGGGCGAAAGCCUGACGGAGCAACGCCGCGUGAGUGAUGAAGGUCUUCGGAUCGUAAAACUCUGUUAUUAGGGAAGAACAUAUGUGUAAGUAACUGUGCACAUCUUGACGGUACCUAAUCAGAAAGCCACGGCUAACUACGUG